GUUUUCAAGGUGACUGUUUCUGAGCUUCAGGAGAGAAAGGAGGGCAGAGUGCCCACGGCUGUGCCAGGGCGAGGACGGGCGGCUGGCUCCCGGCCGGCCGGUAGGGUCAAACCAGAGGCAAAGCCAGAUCUGGGGCUCCCCAGCUGACAAGUGCUUGUGGCCUCUGCCACAGGAGAGCACAGGGGGAAAGAGACACAAGAAGCAGAGACCACA